UUUUUGGAGAGUUUGAUCCUGGCUCAGGAUGAACGCUGGCGGCAUGCCUAAUACAUGCAAGUCGAACGCUCAUUUUGAUUACUUAUUACCUGAAUACUCAGGUGCUAAGUAAUCUUCUUGAGAGUGGCGGACGGGUGAGUAACGCGUAGGAAUCAACCCUUUAGUGGGGAAUAACUUGCCGAAAGGUGAGCUAAUACCGCAUGUGCUUCUUCGGAAGUAAAGCCUUCGGGCGCUAGAGGACGAGCCUGCGUCUGAUUAGUUUGUUGGUAGGGUAAUGGCCUACCAAGGCGAUGAUCAGUAGCUGGUCUGAGAGGAUGACCAGCCACACUGGGACUGAGAUACGGCCCAGACUCCUACGGGAGGCAGCAGUAGGGAAUAUUCCACAAUGGGCGAAAGCCUGAUGGAGCAAUGCCGCGUGCAGGAUGAAGCUUUUCGGAGUGUAAACUGCUUUUGUAGUCGAAGAUUAUGACGGUAGACUAAGAAUAAGGGCCGGCUAACUACGUGCCAGCAGCCGCGGUAAUACGUAGGGCCCAAGCGUUAUCCGGAAUUACUGGGCGUAAAGCGUCCGCAGGCGGUUAAGCCAGUGGAGUGCGAAAUCUUGCCGCUUAACGGUAUAGACUGUACUCCAUACUACUUAACUAGAGGUCGGUAGAGGUAAGCGGAAUUGGUAGUGUAGCGGUGAAAUGCGUAGAUAUUACCAAGAACACCAAUGGCGAAGGCAGCUUACUGGGCCGUACCUGACGCUCAGGGACGAAAGCAUGGGUAGCGAUCGGGAUUAGAUACCCCGGUAGUCCAUGCCGUAAACGAUGCACACUAGGAGCUGGGGGCUUCGACCCCUUCGGUUCUCGUAGCUAACGCAUUAAGUGUGCCGCCUGGGGAGUACGAGCGCAAGCUUAAAACUCAAAGGAAUUGACGGGGACCCGCACAAGCGGUGGAGCGUGUGGUUUAAUUCGAUGCUAAGCGAAGAACCUUACCAAGGCUUGACAUCCUUGGAAUCCUAAGCGAAAGCUAUGGGAGUGCCCCACACUGAUUUUUUGAGUUAGCCUUUGGGCUAAUUGAAUUGGUGCGGUCCUCGAAAGUAAGAGUAAUAUUGCAUAGCAUAAUAUUAACUUUUAUAAAUAUCGAAGAAUCAGUGUGGGGAAUCAAGUGACAGGUGUUGCAUGGCCGUCGUCAGCUCGUGUCGUGAGAUGUUGGGUUAAGUCCCGCAACGAGCGCAACCCUUAUUGCCAGUUAUAAUUUCUGGCGAGACUGCUCCGGUAACGGAGAGGAAGGUGAGGAUGACGCCAGGUCUGCAUGGCCCUUACGCCUUGGGCCACACACGCGCUACAAUGGCUAGUACAACGGGCAGCCAAAUCGAAAGAUGGAGCAAAUCCCUAUUAAAACUAGUCUCAGUUCGGAUUGAGGGCUGAAACUCGCCCUCAUGAAGCCGGAAUCGCUAGUAAUGGCAAGUCAGCAUAUUGCCGUGAAUACGUUCUCGGGUCUUGUACACACCGCCCGUCAAAUCACGAAAGUUGGGGGUACCCGAAGUCCCAUUUUAUGGGCCUAAGGUAAAACCAGCGAUUGGGGUUAAGUCGUAACAAGGUAUCCGUACCGGAAGGUGCGGAUGGAUUACCUCCUUU
rnacentral:rRNA from 1 species